rnacentral:misc_RNA from 1 species
GUCAUUCCUAUAUUAUUUUGUUUGAAUCUCCAAUAGCGUGUCAGUGAAGGUCUAUUCGUUUUAAUCAGUUUCCAAUGGUUAAAUUUACUCAUCUGAAUCCACGUAUCUCUCAGUCAUAGAAGGCUAAUAGUAGAAUCGGUACAUCUUUCAUUAGGUUUUAUCUUUUUCCUCCAACAAUUGCAUUCAAUCCUAACCCUUUUCUGGAGGCUAAAGGCUAUUUUUUUUCCCUUGAAAAUU